ACCGCCCACCGCCCACCUCAUCCCCUCACCUGGGCUCUCAAAAUGGCUCCUGUAGCUCCCCCAGGUAUGGGUUGGCAAGGCACAUGUCACCUGGAGCGUAGGUUGCCAUACACCACACGGCAGCUCACCCCAGUACCUCUGCCGCGUGUGCCACUAGCGGGUGCGUCCCCUGGGAGUCCCGCAGGUCCCCCGAGGCCCAGGGUGUAAGAAUCCACAGCCUCCCCCGGGGUUAAUCCAGCGGCCACCUCUUCAUUCCCCGGGACCUCACUCACGACAACCUGCCCACCCUACUUACCCACCU